AAUAUUGCACAAUGGGCGCAAGCCUGAUGCAGCGACGCCGCGAGAGCGAAGAAGGUUUUCGGAUCGUAAAGCUCUGUACUCUGGGAAGAAAAAAAUGACGGUACCAGAGGCGGAAGCCCCGGCUAACUCAGUGCCAGCAGCCGCGGUAAUACGGAGGGGGCUAGGGUUGUCCGGAUUUACGGGGCGUAAAGGGUGAGUAGGCGGUAACGUGUGUCAGAUGUUUAAUCUAUGGGCUCAACCCAUAUCAGCAUUUGAAACUACGUAACGUGAGUGCAGGAGAGGUAAGUGGAAUUCCUAGUGUAGCGGUGGAAUGCGUAGAUAUUAGGAGGAACACCAGUGGCGAAGGCGACUUACUGGACUGCAACUGACGCUGAGUCACGAAAGCGUGGGGAGCAAACAGG
rnacentral:rRNA from 1 species